ACUUUUAUAAGUAUUUAAUUUAUAAUUUUACAAGUAAAAAAAAAAUUUUCAAUGAUAUUAGCAAUGGCUAAUGUACAAAUUGAUGAUGAUAUUUAUGAUGGAUAUAAUGACUAUCCAUCAAUAUAUAAUAUUAAAGAUUUUGAACAAGAUGAAUUAUUCCAAGAAACACUCAAUACAAGUUAUGCAAAAAGAUUAAUUUUCACACCAAAAGUGCCAGGAAGUGCUAUGCGUUUAGGUACAUCGACAGGAUUUCAUAGAAGUGGUACUAGUGUAUCUAUGCGUUCUAUUACUAGUGGACUUAGGCCAAUGACUGCAGUCAGAGGUGCUGGUUAUACUAGUAGUACUCGUCAAACAUUUGAUCCAUUAAAUAUGAGUAGUUCUGCCAAAGGUUCCGUACCACCUUUAGAAAAUGGAAAGGAUGACACACCUGAAGAAAAGAUAAAAGUUGCUGAAAAAAGAAUUAUGGAUUUAAUAGAAAGUUCAGUAGAAGCAGCAUAUGAAAAUAAUAUAAGAGUAGCUUUAGAAAGAGCAAGAGAAGCAUCUUCAAGAGAAAGAACUCUCAUUAGAUUACAAGAACAAGCUGGGCUUAGUGAUAAUCAUAAUGUAGAUUUAACAUUUGCUGUCAUUUUCAAUUUAGCAACUCAAUAUACUAACAAUAAUAUGUUUACUGAAGCUAUAGCAACUUAUCAAGCUAUAACAAGAAAUAGAAUGUUCAGUAAUAGUGCUAGAUUAAAAGUAAAUAUGGGAAAUAUAUAUGUUAAAAUGGGACAAUUAUCUCAAGCAAUUAAAAUGUACAGAAUGGCAUUUGAUCAAGCUCCAGCAGCUCAUAAAGAUUUAAGAAUAAAAAUAAUGCAUAACAUUGGAAUGCUAUUUGUACAAAUGGGUCGUUUAGAAGAAGCAGCUAAUAGUUUUGAAUGGGUUAUGAAAGAAAGACCUGAAUUUAAAGCAGGCUUGCAUGCUGUUUUAUGCCAUUUUGCAUUGUCUCAUAGGGAUAAAAUGAAAAGAUCAUUUUUAGAAUUGUUAGAGGUUCAGCUUAACAUAGAUCAGGAGGACAGAUAUAAUAUAAGUACAGAUGAUGUCGCUUUUAAUAUAUUGAAUGAAAUUUUAAAAAAUGAUGAUUUAUCUAAGUUAGAGAAAGAAUUAAAAUCAGAAGCAGAAAGAACUAUUCUUUGUGCUGCAAAACUCAUAGCACCCGUAAUUGAAGAUACUCUUACAGCUGGCUUUGCUUGGUGUGUAGAUACUAUAAAGUCUUCAGCUUAUGGUCUAUUAGCUGCUGAUUUAGAAAUAAAUAAAGCUAUGGUAUUUUUACAUAAUCGGGAUACCCAGUUGGCUAUUGAUACUUUGAAAAUGUUUGAAAAUCGUGAAAGUAAAGCUAAUAGUUCAGCUGCAACUAUGCUUUCUUUUAUUUAUUUUCUCCAAGGAGAUUAUGAUCAGGCGGAAAGAUGCGGAGAAAUUGCUCGAAAUGCAGAUAGUUAUAAUGCAGCUGCUUAUGUUAAUUUAUCAGCAUGUGCAAUUAAAAAGGGUGAAUUAAAUAUUGCUAGAGAACUUCUUUUAUGUGCAUUAGAUACAGAUGCUAGUCAUAUACAAGCUCUUUAUAAUUUAGGAUUAGUAUAUAAAAAACAAAAUAUGUAUGAAGAAGCAUUGGAAUGCUUUUGGAAAGUUCGUAAUAUCGUUAGACAUGAUCCACAAACAGUAUAUCAAAUUGGUCAGUUAUAUCAACUUAUGGACGACAUAGAUCAAGCAACAGAUUGGUAUAAUCAAUUACUUGGUAUAAUACCAUGUGAUCCUGGAAUUCUACAAAAAAUAGGCGAAAUGUAUGAUGCUGCUGGAGAUAAACAACAAGCAUAUCAAUUUUAUAGUGAUUCUUAUAGAUUCUUUCCCGCUAAUUUUGAAGUAAUUGAUUGGCUUGGAUCAUAUUUCGUAUCAAUGCAAAUUGCUGAAAAAGCACUAGUUUAUUUCAAAAAAGCAGUCGAACUUGCUCCCGAUGAGCCAAGAUGGCGAUUACUUGUUGCUGCAUGUUUAAGACGAAUUGGUCAAUUUCAUAAAGCUGUUUUAGAAUAUCAAGAUAUUCAUAAUAAGUUUCCUGAAAAUAUUGAAUGCUUAAAAUUCUUAGUUCGUUUAUGUAGUGAUCUCGGCUUAAAAGAAGCGCAAUUAUAUGCAACAGAAUUAAAGCGCGCAGAGAAAGCGAAAGAAUUAAAGGAUAGACAAAUAUCAGCAAGACCAGGGUCAAGAAGGAGUAAUAGUGGAGCAUCAUCACGAACUGGUUCUGGAAUGAGUGUAAUCUCAGAUCAUAGAUCAAGUCCUAUUUUUAAUAGAAAAGAAAAUCAAAAUUUAAGUAGUGCUGAUAUCAUUCGUUCUAAUCGAAUUUCUGCAGUUGAAAAUAUUACGGAAUCUACAAUUGAUAUGACUGAUCAAACAGUUCAAGCAGUGGGGAAGCGAGAAUCUGGAGGCUCGACCAGUUGCUGCUCUGAAACGGAGUACAUUUUACGGUAUUCAAUACACGUGUUUAUACGUGUGCGUGCUCUGAUACGAUUCGAGAAACUUUAUAAUCACUGACCAGUAACUGGAUCCUGCAAAGAAUAGAAGAUCAGAAGCUGAAGCGAUCACGGAAAUCGGCAAUCAUACGUAGAAAGUGUUAGGGUGAGCUUGUGUUUUUUAUUUUCCUAGAACAGGCCAUACGCACUAGUUGGCGCCAUCAGGCUCGUUGAUCCUUGACAAUAGAAGUUAUCUGUUAUCGCUGCGCCAGUUAUUAAUUUAAGCAACUCAAGAAAACGAUGUAAAAGUGAUCAUUAUUCGAAUCACUAUAAUGCAGUGCAUCGAUCCGAAGAGAGAAAACGUUGGACUGCUGCUUCUUCAAGACGAGAUGAUAUAAUUCAUACGACUCGAUUAUUCGGCUUAUCAAACGUUAUAAAAUAUCGUGGACUUUCAACUUUUAGUUUAAUAGUGAGACUGUGGCGUUAUCAUUUUACCGAAUGUCGAGGGAAGGAGGGAAAAUAAAUAAGCGAGUAAUAAUAAACGGUGCGAUCUCAUUAACUCGUGCUCAGAACGUCUCUCGUGCUCGUGGAGAACCACGCGACUGUUUGUCUUGUCGCGUACACCUUAUCAUCCGUCUUGUAAAUUCAUUCACAUUCGUCUCGUAGCGUGGCUUCUCUCAUUCAAAAAUCUUCUAUCUGAGGAUAACGUAAGCGGUAAUCA